CCUACGGGUGGCAGCAGUAGGGAAUCUUCCACAAUGGGCGCAAGCCUGAUGGAGCAACACCGCGUGCGUGAAGAAGGGUUUCGGCUCGUAAAGCUCUGUUGUUGGAGAAGAACGUGCGCGAGAGUAACUGUUCACGCAUUGACGGUAUCUAACCAGAAAGUCACGGCUAACUACGUGCCAGCAGCCGCGGUAAUACGUAGGUGGCAAGCGUUAUCCGGAUUUAUUGGGCGUAAAGCGAGCGCAGGCGGUUGCUUAGGUCAGAUGUGAAAGCCUUGGGCUUAACCGAAGAAGUGCAUCGGAAAACGGGGGAAUGGAGUGCAGAAGAGGAGAGUGGAACUCCAUGUGGAGCGGUGGA
rnacentral:rRNA from 1 species